GGGCGGCUCCGACCGAGAUCAUCGACGUUCUGCAGCUUGCGCANGUUAGAGCGCGCGCUUGAUAAGCGUGAGGUCGGAAGUUCAAGUCUUCCCAGGCCCACCA
rnacentral:tRNA from 1 species